UGGAAUUGUUUCAGUCUCACUGUGGUUGGUC
rnacentral:piRNA from 2 species